rnacentral:rRNA from 1 species
UACGUAGGCAGCAAGCGUUGUUCGGAAUUACUGGGCGUAAAGAGUGUGUAGGCGGUGCUCCAAGUCUGGUGUGAAAUCUCCCGGCUUAACUGGGAGGGUGCAUUAGAAACUGGAAUGCUAGAGGAUGGGAGAGGUAAGCGGAAUUCCUGGUGUAGCGGUGAAAUGCGUAGAUAUCGGGAGGAACACCUGUGGCGAAAGCGGCGCACUGGACCAUAACUGACGCUGGAUGCGCGAAAGCUAGGGGAGCAAACAGG